ensembl:lncRNA
GCUGUGACAGUGACGGGGGUCCGAGAGACAGGACAGGACAGGACCGGACCCGGUGCCGGUGCCGGUGCCGGUGCCGGUGCCGGUGCCGGUGCCGGUGUCCCCGCCGUGUCCCCGCCGCUCAGAACGAGGCGCUGCCGCUUUAAGAGCGCGGUGCCCUCACCCAAGAUGGCGCCGGCGCGGUCCGCCCGUGCUCCCAACGCGCACGCGCGAGGCGUGGCCACACUGACCACGCCCCUCACAAAACCCCGCCCCUUCCGCCCGCCCCGCCGGAGCAGCGCCGGAGGGGCCGCGGGCACCGGGCCCGGGACGGGCCGGGCUGGAGGUACCGGAGCGGGGCCGGGAGCGGGGCAGGGAACGGGGACAGGGACGGGGGAGCUCAGACGGCGACAGCGCGGCCUCUUCCCCUCCCGGUGUGCGCCCUUGGCCCUGGGGGCGGAACGCGGCCGCCGCGCCGGGAGCUUUGCAGAAGGGGCCGGUGGAAGCUCGCGGCGGGGUCUGAGGGCUGCAGUCAGUGACUGCCAGAGGGCAGGGCUGGAUGGGAUUUGGGGCAGGAAUUGUUCCUGGCAGGGUGGGCAGGCCCUGGCACAGGUGCCCAGAGCAGCUGGGGCUGCCCCUGGAUCCCUGGAAUGUCCCAGGCCAGGCUGGACACUGGGGCUGGAGCUCCUGGGACAGGGGGAGGUGUCCCUGCCAUGGCUGGGGGGGAAUGGGAUGAGCUUUAAGGUCCCUUUUGGCCCCAAAGCCUUGUGUGACCCUGUGAGUCCCUGCGGGGAGUGCCCGCAGCUCCCCUGCUCCGGGUGCAGGGCUGGCCCUGCCCCACAGCCCAGCCUGGGAAGGGCUCCGUGCCCGGCUGGGCUCCCCUGCCUGCAGCCCUCCUUCUCAUCCAGGAGCUGCCAGAGCGGCGCCAGGAGCUGCUGGUCCUUGGCAGAAGGGACUGAUGCAGCUUGCUGCAUGGAUAAUUGGAUAAAUGACCCUCUGGAAUGGAACCUCUAGAGCAGCUGGAAUCUGGGAAUCCUGUGGUACUCUGUGGUCCCAGCCUCUGGAUGCUGUGAGCUUUGGCUUGUCCAGGCUUUAAAACCUUCCUUAAUCCUGGAGCUUGUUCCUCAGGUUUUUGCAGCCAGAAUGAAAUGAAUUCCUCAGCUUUUUGCAUCUGAUCAGAGCAGGUGUUUGUGGAAUGCACACUUUGGGAUUUUCCAGGUGUUGGUGGUUCUGUUCCAGGCUCAGGGGGCUGUGGGGCAGGACUGGGAGAGGCUGUGGGGACAUGGCUGGCAGACACCGCUGCUCUUGUGACUCCCUUUAUUCCCACAAGGACUCAAAACCAGGAUUGUUUUUGUUUUCACGUGCUGCAUGGGUGGUGCUUGUGUAGAGCAGAGAAUUGUUUUCAAUUCUUUGGGCUGCAGCAGCAAAAUCAUCUGCUGGCUGUGCUGAGCCACCCUUGGGAAUGGCCCCCACCCUGUGCACGGGGCAGGGAAUGGGCCGGGGGUGUGACCUCACACUUGGCUGCACCAAAAUCUCUUUUGAGAUUUGGAUUUGUGCUCCUGUGCCUUUUAUCUACCUUCAUCCCCCCUUCCCCAAAUCUUUCCCUCUGUCACAAUCCCUCAUUUUCCUUCCUGGCACCAGCUGUGUCUCCAGCUGGGGGUGGCUGCUGCUCAGGGAAGGCAGGUUGGCCCCCGGGUUUGUCACCUGGAGCGUGCUCACCCCGACUUCGUCCCUGCAGUGUCCCACGUCCCCCGGCUGCUCUGGGAGCAUUGUCUGCAGCCCAGGCUGCCCGACAGGCCAGGGCUGGCACCCACUGACCCUGCCCUGGGCACGGACUCCUCCAGCA